rnacentral:ncRNA from 1 species
UUAAAAUCGUGGAUCAGGAUUAGUACCUAAAGUACUAAGUUCUAGAGAGUUGAGGAUGGUGGAAUCUCAAUACAAUAGACUUUAGCGAAUGGACCUGUUAGAUGUAAGCCGAAAUCAUUUUGAAAGUAGUCUUUACCGUGUUUCGCACGUUAUAGCGAUAGGAUAUGUUAGUAUCUGAAAGAGAUGUAUUAUUAAAUAAUUUUAUUUUUAAUAAUAUAAUUUAGGUGGCAACGCGAAUACACUUCGCCCUAUUA